UUUGCAAGUGGAUCUAGUUAUUUUUGCCUUUGCAUGUUCGUUCUCUCUCAACUUGCCUUGGGUACAGUCUCUUGUGGUGGCUCUCUAUUCUAUUGUUGUUGGAGUCAGCUUGUUUCAUUCUCAUCUAUCAAUCUACUUAGAAACCAAUUGGGAUUUUUCUACUUUGGGUUUAUUUUUUUCUCAAACUCAUUGCUGUCUAAUUUCAUUUCAAAUCUUAAACUCCUACGCUUUUUGCUCCGAUUAUUUUCAGGAUCGAAGAAUAGGUUCAUCAGUAUUCUUCACUCUCUCUUAAAAAGUGGGUGUUCGUGUUGGGUUUUCUAAGAACAUGAGAAUUGCUACUGGGUCGUGAUUAGGCAAUUUCCAUGCAUGUUUCUAUUCUUUAUAGGUUGUUGGGUUUUUGGUUUAGACUCUCAUAACUCUUAUGAAUUUCCAGAAUUGGUGUGGGUCUUUAGUUUCUUACUUUUUCGUUUUCCAUCAGGGGAGCCGGUUCACUUUUAGUUUGUCAUGUUUUUCCUCUUUUAGUAAAACCAGUAUUUAAAUUUGUCUGUGCUUUCAAGUUUAUAUUUCGGAAUAUGAGAAUUUCGCCAAGUUUACAUCUCGGCAUUGAGAAGCUGUAAGUGAUCGUAAUUUAAUCUUCUUCUUUUUGUUUGAAUCGAAUUUUUUGAAUGGAAUUGGUAUUGACUUCGAUACCGAUAUAGGCAUCCGUUCGAUUCGGCUAAAUGGGGUUGGGUAUGUAGAUUCUUGUCCAUGGAUGAUGUUGUGGACAAGAAUUGCAUUGUAGAGCCAAAGGAAGCUGCAAAGGAAGAUCUUGUGAAGCAUACUUGAAUAUCUAAAGGAAAGUGCAGAUGUGGCUAUGAUAAUUGAGGUAGGGGAACUAUCUUGGCUGCAAAGCUUGCAAAAGAGCGAGGAUGGGCCAUCAAUGUGGGAGGACUGGGUUUUAUCAUUGUUGUAGGGGAAAAGGAGGUGGAUUAUGUGCUUAUACCGAUAUUUCUCUUUGCAUACAUUUUCUGCAGGUGCCGUUAAACAUACUCAAGGGUGAUGAUUAUUAAUCUUGAUGCACAUCAAGGAAAUGGCCAUGAAACAGAUUUUGCCAAUGACAGUAUGUUUACCUUUUUGUCCUGAGAACGUUGUUUGAAUUAAUCACCAUCUCUUAAUCUCUUACAAGUACUUAAAUGCUAUUUUUUUUUUAUAACAUGUCAAGUCUAUAUCCUGGAUAUGUACAACCCUGGAAUAUAUCCAUUUGUAAGUUUUAAACCUCAUCAUCAUGCAAUGGAUAUUCCCUAAGAAACUGCAGACUUUAUUCCUUAAUGCAAUGGUGUGUGUUGAGAUGCAAGUUGUUAAUAGCUAAGUAGUUUGAUUGCUGCUGGUAAGGACAGGCUUUUUUAGACAUUGUGGUAGGGAGAAGGCAAACUUUCCCUACUGUCUCCCGUUAUUGCUGUUUCACUACAUAUUUACUUCUUGCUCUUUUUGAUUGAUCAGCCUCAAUCUAUAGUGUUUUCUUAUUAAGGUUUUCAAUUAUGCUAUUGGCCUCAUCAUCAUGCCUUUUCUUCCUUAAAUGGUCUCUUCUUUAGGAUUAUGAAGUAAGGAGAUUCAUUGAUCAGAGGGUUGAAGUAGCGGUGAGGCGAUGAGCCUUCAUUAUCCCAUCAUCAAAUCAGAUUUUAGUUGUUUUGUCCAUGGCUUUCUGCAACAUAAUCCCUGUUUUUUUAUUUUUUUUAUUUUUUAUUUUUUUAAAUUUAAACAGAGUGGCACUACAACAACCGAGUAUUUGAGAAAGAUGAAGCUCUUGAGGUAUAUACUUAGAAGUCAUGUGCUGCCAUGUUCUAUCUGACAAUCUUUAGCAAUAGUUUUUCUUCUAGACACUGUGUAGUUGCGUAACUUAUUUGAUUAGAAGUACUUCCAUGUGGAUUGAAGAACCUGAUAUGAAUGUUGGGUUGCUGCUCAUAAUUUUGCUCCUGAGUUGAUGGUCUACAAUGCUGAAACUGAUAUUCUACAUGGCGAUCCUCUGGGCAGGUUGAAGGAGGUGGUGUUGGAUACACUGAUGGAGUUUUUGAAGUUGGGAAACAGAAGAAGGUUUCACUCUGCUAUAUUCCUUAGGUUUCUUCGUAACAUUAGAAUAUGCUCUCGUUUGAUGAUUGUAUUAGCUGUGCUUUUAUCGCCACUUCCUCUGUUCAUCUGCACCUUUUAAGAUGUAGGUUCAUGCCUUAUUGAAGGAGCUGGCUCAGAAGUCUUUCAAUGCGACCUUGGAAUUAAAGCAGUAUCCCACUUUAAGAUUGGAAGUUGGGAAUGCAAGAUUUGAAUCGCUCGAUAGGAUGAAAGAAGAGAGCAAGGAAGAAACUAUGCAGCUAGUUGAUAUGGAAUCUCUCCCCUAGUGUUUGGACUUUGAAUAUCUCAUCUCUUAGAUAUCUAUCAUCUCGUAUAUCUAUUCUACGACCGCCAGAGAAGCUUGAUGACUUCCAGAUUCCCAUCUCAUCAGAUUAGCAAUGGUCUUUACGUGUUAGGCAGGCCUGAGUAGCCAAAAGAAAGAGCACCUACAAUGGGCUCACUGCCAUGCCCUCUACUGUAAGUUUAGGGUUCUAAAUCACUUGGAUGAAUUCAAAUUUGUGGAAGAAUUCAUGGCCGCCUCAGGAGUAUAUCCCCAGGAACACUUUAGAAUUGUGACGGGCACAAGAGCUGAUGAAGAGGUGAAACUUGAUGCAUUGUUCAAAUUUUUUUUUUCCUCCCUGCCCCCUUGAGACCACUUUUUACUGUCAACACUGG